GUCCUCAUCCGCUAGAGGCCCAGGCACCUUGGUUCUCACCCAAGAAACGCGGGUUCGAAUCCCGCUGAGGACG
rnacentral:tRNA from 1 species